rnacentral:misc_RNA from 1 species
AGUGUGGCCAUGCAUGAAGAAGUACACAUACAGGAUGAGCUUACAAAAUAAGUAGGAUGCUACGGGGGAGAACUGCAAACUAAAAUUGAUGAAGAAUUCAAGGGAAAAAUUGCAGGGAACUUACUAGCUGGAACUUACUUAAUCUUCGUGGUGCUUGUGCACACUGCUGCAUGACAGGGCCUAUUUCACGCACGCCAAUCACCAGCGCUGUUUGAUCCCCUGUUUGGUACCCUGCUCAAUAUGUGUGGAAGUUGAUCGACGACCAGUUUUCCACGAUGGCGCGGGCAUUAUUAGCAUUACAAUGCCUGUGUACGAGAACGCCUGUGUGGCUACGUUGGCGGGUUUGUUCAAAUGCGACUUCACAGGAGCUAGAGCACAAGCCGCUGGUGAAUCGUUGCUUACAGGACGACCAGCUUCUUGGCAUUUCUUGAUGACGGCCACUGUUGUUAAGACUUUGAUCUCCUGUCUUGGCCUUCAGUUGGACCGAGAGAGAACACUAUUUCCUUGGCAUCAGAGGCUCCUUUGGUACUUUGGUACUGUGCAUCACUGGUUCAUGAACAACUAUGACAUGUUUCCCUAGUUUCAGUAGUUUGACAGAGAGACAAGAGCAAGCUGGUCCCUGGAGGCCGUUCUCUGGAGUGUAACAAAUCAGAGAAAUCUCAUCACUGGUGACACUACUCAACAGGCUGGCCUCUUCCAUACACCCCAAGGGUUCAACAGUGGCUGGGAAAUAUGAUUCAGAGCACAAGCCACUCAUGGUACAUCCAGUUUUUUGAUUAUGGAGUUCCUGUGCUCGUUGUUGAGGUGAUUGGUACUUUGAUCUCUUACUGUUGCCUUCUGGGUAAAAGCUGUAGCAUUGAUGAAGAGACAAGACCAGGUCCCUUGGAGACAGUUUUCUGGAGUUUAACACAUCACUGGCAACUGGCAUUACUGACAACACGACUCACUCGUACCACAAUUAUGGCCAAGAUUUGGACUCUAGCACCGUGCUUAUCUGUUCUACUAGUUAGUCUUCUGCUGCUGGUUGAACAGUGAUACGCUCCAUGCUGUGACAUGCUCAACCUCUCUCAUCAUUUUCUUAUCUUGUCUGUUCUGGAAUAGCAUGAAUAAAUUCAGGGUGCAGUAUCUGUUGUAUACGUGCACUGAGCCUUUUAUGGGCAAUAAAAGUAACAACAGCAUGAUUUUGAUUCCCUCAAGAUAACAGAACUGGUUAUUUGCAACUGUUGCAGUGACCGUUUGUCUUGUGUUGGCAGCAAAAGGUUUUGUUGAAAGGUUCCUACUUUGCAUGGUUUUUCUGUACCAUCUGGUGUACCUCAAGGAAGUGUCUUGAGCCCAGUCCAGUUCUUAUGUAUACAAACGACUUUCCUGAUCGCAUCGUGUCAGCUAGCACUUUAUUUGGCAACAGUGCUCUUGUGUAUAGGCCAAUAUAAUGUCAGUUUGAUGACCUUCAAGAUAUUCAUGACUUCCAAAGAUGUUGUCAUGCUAAUAAAAUGCAUCUCAAUACAUUACAAAGGAAACCAAAGUUUUGCUUAUACUAGGAUGGUCAAAGAAAAUAGUGGACCUGAAAUGUACCUUAGUUAACAUGCAGGUUGAAGCUGAUAAUGAGUACAAAAUUUCUCGGGAAAAUCUUGUUAUGCCACUACCAAAU